AUGCGACCCGCCCCGCGCGCCGGCACCCUAAAGGGCCUCCUUCCGGAAACCCCCAAGGCGCCCGAGAGGCUCCAGGCCAAGGCGCAGGGACCCUGGGCCGCCUGGUGCUGCAGGGGGGAUACUGCAGGCCGGGGAGGGCGGGGGCGGAGCGCCGGCCAGCCCGGCUCCGCCCGCUCUGGCAGGCGGAGGUGCCACAUCCACAGCCUCCCUCUCUGUCCUCCUGUCUCCGGGCCGGGAUGCGCCGCGCCCUGCCCGCCCGGAUUGCGCGCGGGCCGGCGGCUCUCCGGGCCACUCCCCUCCCCGCGCCCCAGAUCACCCGGGAGUCCGGGGCCCGCUGCGCAAAGCCGCUGCGCAGGCAGAGCCUGCCCUUCGGGUGGAGGCCCAGCGCGCCCCCUCCGCGCGCUCCCCGCAACCUGGGACCCGAGCCGCUCACGCCCGCCUCGCCCCGCCUCGCCCCGCCCCGCCCCGCCGCGGCCCGGGGCGCCCGGCCCCUGCCCAAGCUCCGGCCCGGGCCCCGCGGCCCCCCGCACGGAUACCUGGCGGCACUUCCAAGGCCAGCCCGGGGACACGCGGCGUCCAAGGAUCAGCUGCGUCGACGGCGACGCGUCACAGAGCUUAAGAUGCGCCUGCUGCCCCGCCCCCCGCGGACGCCCUUGCCGCCCAUUGGCCGGCGGCGGAGGACUGGCCACCAAUCGCCGUGGGCCCGCCCCCCGCCCCGGCGCCGCGCAUCCCGUACUCAGACGGGGCACUGGUUCGAGCCGUUCUCCUGCGCCUUCCGCGCCCCGCAAUUCCGGGCAGCGGUCGGGGUCGGUACCUGAGUUCAGGCGCCUGCCUGGAUCCGUGCCUUUUCAUCGAUUCCCCUCACCGCCCUCUCUUUGCUGGCGAGAAAACAAGGUCCGAAGGGGUGAAACGCGGGACUGGACCUCCAGACCUGCGUUCUUCCCGGGGUUGCGCUUCCAGGCCUUUGCCUCGCGGAGCCUUCCGUGUGUGCUGGCCGCCCGCCUGUACUAG
rnacentral:lncRNA from 1 species